rnacentral:rRNA from 1 species
CACAGCAAAAACAAAACAAAUACCAAUAUAACUAACGAACCCCUACAACCAAGCUUGAGCCACACUAUAAAUAUAGACGGACUUAUGCUAAAACUAGUAACAAGAAUUAUUCUCUUUCAGCACAACCAUGACCCAGAAAUAGAAAACAUACUGGACUUUAACAGACCAAAACAGGAACAACAGAACAAAAGAAAGCCCUGUUUCCCCCACUGUCAAACCAACACCGGAGUGCUAUCAAGAAAGAUUAAAAGUUAUAUAAGGAACUCAGCAAACUCUGUCCCAACUGUUUACCAAAAACAUAGCCUUUAGCCAAACAAGUAUUAAAGGUAUCGCCUGCCCAGUGAAAUUUUUUAACGGCCGCGGUAUUCUAACCGUGCAAAGGUAGCGUAAUCACUUGUCUUCUAAAUAAAGACUUGUAUGAACGGCUAAAUGAGGACAAACCUGUCUCCUAUAACCAAUCAGUGAAACUGAUCUUCCAGUCCAAAAGCUGGAAUAACUACAUAAGACGAGAAGACCCUGUGGAGCUUCAAACCAACCGCUAACAAAACUUACUAGCACAGGGUUUUAAGUUGGGGCGACUUCGGAACAAAACACAACUUCCGAGCACAGGAGCACUACUCCUUUCCUAGGCCAACAAGCCAAAAAUUAAAACGACCCAGUCACACUGACCUUCGAACCAAGUUACCCCAGGGAUAACAGCGCAAUCUUCUUCAAGAGUCCAUAUCGACAAGAAGGUUUACGACCUCGAUGUUGGAUCAGGACACCCAAAUGGUGUAGCCGCUAUUAAAGGUUCGUUUGUUCAACGAUUAACAGU